GAUGAACGCUAGCUACAGGCUUAACACAUGCAAGUCGAGGGGUAACAAGAGGAAAGCUUGCUUUCUUUGUUGACGACCGGCGCACGGGUGAGUAACGCGUAUCCAACCUGCCUAUAACUAGGGAAUAACCUUGCGAAAGUAAGACUAAUACCCUAUGAGUUCCUUUGAUGACAUCAGAUUAGGACUAAAGAUUUAUCGGUUAUAGAUGGGGAUGCGUCUGAUUAGCUUGUUGGCGGGGUAACGGCCCACCAAGGCAACGAUCAGUAGGGGUUCUGAGAGGAAGGUCCCCCACAUUGGAACUGAGACACGGUCCAAACUCCUACGGGAGGCAGCAGUGAGGAAUAUUGGUCAAUGGGCGGAAGCCUGAACCAGCCAAGUAGCGUGCAGGAUGACGGCCCUAUGGGUUGUAAACUGCUUUUAUACAGGAAUAAAGUUAGCCACGUGUGGUUAUUUGUAGGUACUGUAUGAAUAAGGACCGGCUAAUUCCGUGCCAGCCGCCGCCGUAA
rnacentral:rRNA from 1 species